rnacentral:lncRNA from 1 species
UCCCCAGGAGCAUCAUCACCAGUGAUCUUAGUGUUGAGGAGGCAUUUACCAACAUAAGGUUCCUUAGGCCUGAAUUUAUUAGUAACCACACCUUCCUCCACUUUCUUCGAAACCUUCUCAACUUUAGCUGGAGCCUCAGUGGUCACCUGAGCUCUAAUAGACACCAUUUUCCCCCCACUAGACACAUUUCUAAAUGUCAAAGGAACCUGCAACACCAAAAAAAAAAAAAAAAUCCCUUUAACCUUACAUAUUCAUUUUUAUCAAUUUUGUCAAACAGACACGAUCUGAAACCCGAAACGAAAACACAAGUACACAAAAAAGGAUGAUACAAGUGGGGGUACCUUGGUAAAGUUAAGUCUGUCAGUAGACAGGAUAGAUGGUGUGGUGGAAAUGGAAGGUGUUUUAGAGGAAUGGAGAGAGAGUGCAGCAGUGAGUGCAGUAGCCAUUGUUGUAAAAGAGAGAAAAAAAAUUGUCAAGUAAAAAACUUGGUAGCAAAGAAAAAAAGAGGGAGAGAGUGAGAUUUUUUGAUAGGAGGAUCAUAAAUUGAG